CCUACGGGUGGCAGCAGUGGGGGAUAUUGCACAAUGGGGGAAACCCUGAUGCAGCGACGCCGCGUGUGGGAAGACGGUCUUCUGGAUUGUAAACCACUGUCCCCAGGGACGAAAAUGACGGUACCUGGGGAGGAAGCUCCGGCUAACUACGUGCCAGCAGCCGCGGUAAUACGUAGGGAGCAAGCGUUGUCCGGAAUUACUGGGUGUAAAGGGAGCGUAGGCGGGGAUGCAAGUUGGGUGUCAAAACUACCGGCUCAACCGAUAGUCGCACUCAAAACUGCAACUCUUGAGUGAAGUAGAGGCAGGCGGAAGUCCUAGUGUAGCGGUGAAAUGCGUAGAUAUUAGGAGGAACACCAGUGGCGAAGGCGGCCUGCUGGGCUUUUACUGACGCUGAGGCUCGAAAGUGUGGGGAGCAAACAGGAGUUGAUACCCUGGUAGUC
rnacentral:rRNA from 1 species